GAUUGCUCCUGGCCUGGGACUCAGGAAGUCAAACCUAAGAGACCUACCAAAGUCAGGAUGGCUUUGUGAGAGAAAGAAAAAGAAGAGCUGUUCCUCAUUCCCACAAGUCCAAACAAUGAAAAGGAACUCAUACAUCAAUCACUGGAAGCUCCUACAAAAGAGAAAAUAUUGUUACCAACCAAUAAACCCUGAAACAGCAAUACCUUUUUAUAUAUGAGGAUAUGCCUAAAGCCAGGCAGCCUGAGCUGACAGAAAUACCAACUGACCCAUCACAAAGUGCCAUUUUCAGAAGCCAUGUCCCCAUCCAAUCUACGCUCAGUACCUGGGGAACCAUUAGUAUGCAGAGAUCUAAGCAUUCUGCGAUCACCAUGACAAACAUCAGCUCCCUGAACUCGGCGUGUUGUGUCUCCAGAGCCCAGGUCCAGGCUUUAUACUGUACACCGGCUCGAGAAGUACGAGGUGCCAGAUGGCAUGUAUGAUGUAAUGACAAAGCUGCUGCUCCUUUGUCAAAGCCUGACAAUACUCUGGGGACAUUUUCUAGAGGAAGAGGUGUUCGGGCAGUGUCACAACAUCUACUAUGGCAUAGAAGACUCUUCAUUUCUCUACUCUAAGAAAGUUUUUGAAACAUGUCUUUUAAGGUUUUUCACAGCUCAAAAUCCUCAGAUGUGUCUCUGUCCCAAAGGCCAAAGAAAUUGCUGUUUGAUACACUUUAUAUGCAAUGCAAUGCUAUUUACAUAAUCAGAGGUAUAACUGUUUAAUUAUUUCUAGGUGAUUCAUCCCAGCUAAUAAUGAUAAUGUAAUAUUUAUUAACAUCCACUAAGAAGAGGAUCAGAGUCUUCAUUAUGGAUUAUGAAUAUGGGGUGGUUUAAUUAUUCAUGGAUACCUGUAAUAGUAUAGUUGACUAAAAGUGAUAGAAUUUAUAGAACAACGUGGAACAUUAAAAUUUAAUUAUUGUUCAUAAAAAUGCUUAUUUCCCUGUUAUAAUUAUUCUCUUAAGAGACUGCUGCUAUACGGAAAUGUUAAAUUACGAAAAUAAGUUUGGUGGCUGCCAUGAAAAAAAACGAUCUUCGUCACUUAUCACAGCUAUGAAGUCUUAUUAACUUUUUUUCCGUGGUUCUAAUUUAUGAUAAAUAUAUGGUUCUAAUUCA